UACAGAGGGGGCAAGCAUUAUUCGGAAUUAUUGGGCGUAAAGGGCGCGUAGGCGGCCUGGCAAGUGGAAGGUGAAAUCCCUCGGCUUAACCGAGGAACUGCCCUCCAAACUGCUUGGCUUGAGUCCGGGAGAGGUGAGUGGAAUUCCCAGUGUAGCGGUGAAAUGCGUAGAUAUUGGGAGGAACACCAGUGGCGAAGGCGGCUCACUGGACCGGAACUGACGCUGAGGCGCGAAAGCGUGGGGAGCAAACGGG
rnacentral:rRNA from 1 species